CGUUCUGAUAAAAGAGAGAUCAUAAGUCAUAGCUACGUAAGCUGUAAGACAGUAUUCUGAGAAACGAGAAUAACAAAUAAACAUCUCUUGUAGUAGUAACCAAGAGAAAGUGAUAGUAAUAGUGCACGAGCGAAUACUACACGAAUAAACGCGAUACAAUAAGAAUAGAUAAAUAAUAAUCUAAGAUAAGGAGACGGAUUAUAAGUGCGAUUUUUUGAUGAAAUACGAAAGAUAAAUUUAAAAGAAGAAUGUUAAGUUAACGACUGAGACGGAUGCAACUUCGAUGAGUUAUAAAUUAACAAUGCGAUCAACAGAUGGCGCAAUGAAUCGUAGCGGCGCAGUAACGAUGCUUAAGUCGCAUCAACGUGGCGACAGGGCUUCUAUUUUUCUCUGUUUUACUUGUGCAGUUUGUUUUCUUCUAAGCGUUACCUGUACUUUUCUCGGUACUCUUGUUGUCCUCGAUCAGAACGUUGAGGCUGCCAACUAUCGAUACGAUCCAAGUAAACCGGAAACGUUCGCCGUCAUGAGCCACGAUCACCAGGAUGAUUAUACUUUCAGAUUACCAAAAGAAGUUAAACCGAUUCAUUAUGAUAUUUAUUUAUAUCCCGAUCUUAACAAUGGUACAUUCGUGGGUAAAGUUACGAUCCUUAUAAAUGUCUUAGAUAAAAGAGGCCAAAUCGCCCUUCAUCAAAAGGAUCUCAAUAUUACUCAUAUCGAAUUAAAAACUUAUGAUCGCGAAGAGAAUUAUGAAAUUGAAUUAUUGCCUCCAUUUACGGUCGCGAAAUAUGAGAUGCUUGUUGUUCCUAUAAAGAACGAAAUCAAUUCAGGACUUUAUAAUCUAUCUAUCGAUUUUAAUGGAGCACUUCAACCGGACAAAAUUGUCGGUUUCUAUUCAAGCAAAUAUAAAGACGAGUAUAAUAAAACGAGAUACAUUGCUACUUCGAAAUUUGAACCAACCUACGCGAGAAGAGCGUUUCCUUGUUUCGACGAGCCUUCGUUCAAGGCCGAAUUUUCAGUUAAAUUAGUUCACCCUACAGACGAGUGCUAUAAUGCACUUUCCAAUAUGAACGUCAAGAGUACUCUUAUUAAUCAACCAAAUUCUGGACUUACCACCGUGGUCUUUGCCAAAAGUGUACCUAUGUCAACUUACUUAAGUUGCUUCAUAAUUAGCGAUUUCGUAGCCGUGACAAAAAAAGCGAAAGGUUUUAAUGGCCGAGAAUUUCCAAUUAGCGUAUACACUACCAGAGCACAAAGGGAAAAAGGCUCAUUUGCUCUUAAAAUUGGUGUUGAUAUAAUUGAAUAUUAUAUCAAUUUAUUCCGUAUAGACUAUCCUUUGCCUAAGCUUGAUAUGAUUGCGAUACCAGAUUUUGUAUCGGGUGCGAUGGAAAAUUGGGGUAUAGUAACGUACAGAGAAGCGAGAUUACUUUACGAUAAUCAAACGAGUUCUACGCGAGAGAUGCACGAUAUCGUCACCGUAAUUAGUCACGAAUUUGCACAUAUGUGGUUUGGAAAUCUAGUUACAAUGAAAUGGUGGAACGAUCUAUGGUUAAAUGAAGGUUUUGCUUCGUUCAUGCAAUACAAAAGCGCGAAUGCUAUUCUUCCCGAUUGGGGACUGAUGGAAGAAUUUCUUCUCGACCAAAUACAUUUGGUCUUCAUUACAGAUGCCAAAUUGAGCACUCAUCCGAUCAUUCAAACUGUCAAUAAUCCCGAUGAGAUUACAUCGAUUUUCGAUGAAAUCUCUUAUAGAAAGGGAUCAUCCGUUAUACGUAUGAUGGAAAAUUUUAUUGGUGUUGAUAGAUUUUACGACGGUAUUAGAACAUAUCUGAAUAGAUUCACCUAUCAUAAUGCAGAGACGGAUGAUCUUUUUAAAAUUUUACAAGAACAAGUUGGAACAGAAAUAAAUGUGACGGAGAUUAUGGAUACCUGGACCAGACAAAAUGGCUUUCCGGUCGUAAAUGUUCACAAGACUGAAAAUAAAUACGUAUUAACACAAAAACGUUUCUUAGCCGAUCCAGAUACUCAAAUUGAUCCUACGGAAUCAGAUUACGGAUAUAAAUGGAUAAUACCUAUAACAUAUAUUACUAAUAAAUCAUCAAAGCCAAAUUUAAUCUGGUUCAAUAAUAAUGCUAGUAAUUUGGUGAUAGAAUUGCAAGAACCUGUCGAAUGGAUUAAAUUUAAUAAAGAUCAAAUUGGUUAUUAUCGCGUUAAUUAUGAAACAACGGAAUGGGAAAAUUUGAUUCAUCUGCUUAAAUACUAUCACACGAGAUUAUCUGUAUCAGAUAGAGCUCAUCUCUUGGAAGAAGUAUUUAGUUUAGCAUCUGCAGGUGAACUUGAUUAUGGCAUCGCCAUGAAUAUGACCACGUAUCUUCCACGAGAAAAUCAUGUUAUUCCUUGGACUGUUGCAUCUAAAAAUUUAUUGGCUAUAGAUCAAUUUUUGUCGUCAACAAAUUUGUCUACUAUUUUUAAGUCUUACGUAAGAAAUUUGGUUGAUAGCGUGUAUCACGAUGUAACAUGGCGUGUGGAUAACACAGAAGAUCAUGUAAUGCUAAGACUUCGUUCGAUAGUGUUAGAUCUGGCUUGUUCGGUAGGUCAUAUAGAAUGUUUAGAAGAAGCAUCUGAAAUCUUCAAAAAAUGGAUUAACGAUAUAAAGGACGUACGUCCGCAUCCAGAUAUUCGAGGAUUGAUUUAUUAUUACGGCUUACAUUAUGCUGGUUCUGAAGCUGAAUGGAAUCUUAUGUUCGAUAAAUUCGUUCAGGAAACGGAUUCGUCGGAAAAAUUAAAAUUGAUGCGUGGAUUAACGGGAAUACGAGAAAGUUGGCUUUUGACCAAAUUUAUCACUAUAGCGAAGAAUGAAAAUUACGUUCGUGCACAAGAUUUUUUCUCUUGUUUGACGGCAAUUUCUAACAAUCCCGUUGGUACACCACUCGUUUGGGAUUGGGUCCGAGGAAACUGGGAAUUUUUAGUUCAAAGAUACACUUUAAACGAUCGAUACCUUGGACAACUUAUACCUGGAAUUACAAAAACUUUUGCUACGGAAACCAAAUUAAACGAAAUGAAAGCAUUUUUCGAAAAAUAUCCUGAAGCCGGUGCUGGUGCAUCGAAUCGAGCGAAAGCAUUGGAGACAGUACAAAAUAAUAUAAAAUGGUUAGCAAAAAAUACAGCUAAGCUUGAAAACUGGUUGAAUUCGCAUUUGAAUAAUUAAUCCGUCUGAUUAAACUAUAUUACUAAUACAUUUUUAUGAAGGAUAAUGUUAUCAAAUAAAGAAAACAACAAUGUUUUUAAAUAUAUAUAUAUAGCCGAUAAAUCAGCAUUUAUGAAGAAAUAUAUAUUAGGACUAAUCGUAAGUUGAAAAGAAUAAAGUUUUUUACUUUAUAUAGAAAGACUUAAUAAUUUACUAUUAUCAAAUCCAUUAUUCUGUCAAUGAAUAAUUUUUUUAUUGAUUCGAUUAUUAAACCUAUCUGAAAGUAUGUUUAAUACAAUAAAAUUUAAAAUAUCAAAGUAUCGUCAUUUAUAUAUUCGAUGAUUGAAUACAAAUUAUUGAAAUUCUAAAUAGAUUAUAACAUUAAA